UACGUAGGGCGCGAGCGUUGUCCGGAUUUAUUGGGCGUAAAGAGCUCGUAGGCGGCUUGUCGCGUCGUCUGUGAAAUCCCAUGGCUCAACUGUGGGCUUGCAGUCGAUACGGGCAGGCUGGAGUUCGGUAGGGGAGACUGGAAUUCCUGGUGUAGCGGUGAAAUGCGCAGAUAUCAGGAGGAACACCGGUGGCGAAGGCGGGUCUCUGGGCCGAUACUGACGCUGAGGAGCGAAAGCGUGGGGAGCGAACAGG
rnacentral:rRNA from 1 species